rnacentral:rRNA from 1 species
UGGGGAAUAUUGGACAAUGGGCGAAAGCCUGAUCCAGCCAUGCCGCGUGAGUGAUGAAGGCCCUAGGGUUGUAAAGCUCUUUCACCGGUGAAGAUAAUGACGGUAACCGGAGAAGAAGCCCCGGCUAACUUCGUGCCAGCAGCCGCGGUAAUACGAAGGGGGCUAGCGUUGUUCGGAAUUACUGGGCGUAAAGCGCACGUAGGCGGAUAUUUAAGUCAGGGGUGAAAUCCCGGGGGCUCAACCCCCGGAACUGCCUUUGAUACUGGGUAUCUAGAGUAUGGUAGAGGUGAGUGGAAUUCCGAGUGUAGAGGUGAGAUUUCGUAGAUAUUCGGGGGGAACACCAGUGGCGAAGGGCGGCUCACUGGACCAUUACUGACGCUGAGGUGCGAAAGCGUGGGGAGCAAACAGGAUUAGAUACCCCUGGUAGUCCACGCCGUAAAACGAUGGAAGCUAGCCCGUUGGCAGGUUUACCUGUCGGUGGCGCAGCUAACGCAUUAAGCUUCCCGCCUGGGGAGUACGGUCGCAAGAUU